rnacentral:misc_RNA from 1 species
AUAUAUCAACCUCUUCAGCUUUUGGCUUGUUGGGUGUUGGAUGUGGGGGUCUUUUGCUGGUCUUUUAAAAGAGGUCAGCUCCCCUAAAAUGUAUUAGCGGAACAAUUUGUUGACCGUUUAUUGGUGUGAUAAUUAUCUACGCUAUUAACGUGAGGCAGUUCAGCUUCUAGCAGUCCAUUGACUUGGACAGUUUUUUCAUUA